rnacentral:lncRNA from 1 species
UUCGAAGUGGACACGUGGUAUGAUCCGAGGUCGGACGCUUUUGAUCUCGUAUUGGCGGAAUAGCGAUCUGGGGAGGCCGUGGUUAUAUCGGCGCUCCACGCGUCCCUGGGGCUUAUUAAAUGAAGGGAGCGGGGGUGACGUUCGCUCGUCUUUUGAGGCGGUCCGGUUUUGCGAACCCAUGAUGAGGCCGUGAGAUCCGAUGGGACGGCGCUUCGAUUUUGUACCCGACAUAUUGAUCUGGAAUGAAUGCGGUGCUUCGGCUUCCGAGGCCGACACGUGGCGCAAUCUAAACGGGGGGUAGAAACCGAACCCGCCGAUCUGGGCCGUCAGGGGGGUCUAUAUAAACCCCACAAAUCCGCCCUAAGAGGAGUCUUAUUUGGUUGCCUUUCAUUUUCGCCGCUUCCACCUUCAUUCUACUUCUCAACAAAACCUCGCCGACGGUACCCGGAGCGAUUUUCGGCGACUCCUUCGUAGGUUUCCACCCUGUGUUAGCUAGGGGGUUCCUCUUCCUCCUUUUUCUUGCUUCUUUUAUCUUUGGUUUGCUUCAUUUUUCUGCAAAAUGGGUCUCGGUCCAGAUGAAGUGGGGUCGAGUUUGUCGGGGGAGGAGUUGGAGUUAAUCCGCUCCCGGUUCUUCUUCCAGCCCGGGUUUCGUCUCGAAACUGCGGGGCCGGAAGAUAGGGCGACGCGGCCGCCCCCAGGUCGGAUCGCGAUUCACCGCGAGACGCUCUGGGCCGGUCUGCGGUUCCCCCUACACGAGUUCGUGAACAACUUGC